ensembl:lincRNA
CAAAAAUAAGUGCUAGUUUCCUAACGGCCUCCUGAGAUGAACCGGGUCCGUGCUGCGUAAUUUACUUCACGCUCAGCACCCUGUGAGCAUUCCACAGUCCAGGGUGCUGCAGUUCAAAGGUUAUAUGACUUGCUAAAAUCUUCGGGUUAAGAAGAGGCCAAGGUGGGCUUUGGAUGAGCUGCAUCUGCCUCCUGAACACAAGGGUUCAUCUGCUGCUCUCUCGCUUCCUCCAGCAAUGGCCCUGAGCUGAGAGGGAGCAUGUGAGUUCGCGCAAGUUUCAAGAAGGGAGGAGCCUGCUCCUCCCGGAGGCCCAGCCCCAGCAACACCUGCUGAGCAACGAGAUUCCAUGAACGCUACACGCGGACCUGAGUUGGAACCUGGCCUCUCUUGACACGGUGAUCAAUUUGACGUUAAAAUUUGGCCCAAGAAACUGACAAUCAAAGGGACCAGGCAGAGACGACAGAUGGAAAGCAGACAGGGCCUGGAGAUCAGCAGCCCUAGGCCCUGACCCAAACCCUCAGCGUUGUAAAGGUAAGGCCACCACCAGGGUCAAGCCUCCUUCCGUUAGGAAAAUAAAAACAGAAGGAAUUGUGCUCUCUGGAGGGCAGGGCUCUGAGUACAGAGUCUCAUGUUUUCAAAGUCGGAAAGUGUCCACAGUUAAUAUUUGGAUGGGCCCACAGUGCCCGUCUUGCUCGCCGGAGCCCAGGCCUGUCCCAUCACAGACAAAGGGCUCUUGCUGUGCACCUGUGGAGAGGGGAGCUUGGCUGGGGGAAGGCAGGGUCAGCCUCUUUGUGCUCUUUGUGUUUGAAGCAGAGUUUUGCAAAGGGAGUGGUUCUGGAAGAAAAGCAGAGCGUGGAGUGUCAGAGGCUGGAGUGUUGUGAAAGGCAUAAGCCCUGGAGACCCUCUGUAACUGGCCUUCACACACGCCUGCCGCCAACGACAACACUGAACCGCGGAAGCGGGGUGUUUGCCAGCUCACGAGACGGGGAGACAUGAAGCUUCCACCAGCAGAGGAGCUGGAGGGGAAACAGAAAGAAAGAACUGAGUCUAGCAGCCUCCUUGGACAUUUCUUCCAACGCCUCCAGCCCAGCACAACAAACAACCUCGGGGCAUCCGGCCCGUGCCGCGCCCUGGCACACCCAACUCUGCCCUGCUCCAAGAGCCCACAGAGGGCCUCCGGGUCACACUCAAGCUGCCGUAAUGAAACAGAUGACGCACGACAGAUCACAAUAUGAAAUUCAGAAACAAAUUUAGGUACGUAUCAUAAUUUAGUUAUUAUAACGGCAUUUAAACACCAAAUACAUGGUGGCACAAUAGUUCACUAAUCAUUUGGAGCACAGCCCGGGCGGACGCCUCUGCUGUGUUCCCACCGUCAGGCGACAGAACACGCAGGGAGUCACCCGGGUUGCCCCACUAGUUUUCCCACUGAUCCUGAAGCUGGCUGAGAGCAGAGACCAGCUAGAGUUCAACUCCUUGUCCCCAUCGUUCCAUAUGCCUUCCACAGAGGAUGCACUAAAUUCUCGCCGAAGGAAUAAAUGACAUUUUAACCUCUUCAUGGCAUCGUUUGGGCCCGGGAGGCACACAUCUCUUAGAUAGCUGCCCUUUAUGGCAGGUCACAAGUGAUGCACGUCUGAGCUGAGAAGUCGACGUCCCACUUCUCCUUCGUUUUCUUGGCCAUCCCUGAAGCCCUGCUAGGUCUAUGUUAGAAUCCUAAUGAAACUUUUGCUUUUGCUCACUCAAUAAGCACAAAUAAUAAUAAUGUAAAUAUUUACAACCUAUAAAGUGUCCACAUUUUCCUGGACCUUAUGGAUAUAUUAUAGAAGCAUAUGUAUAAUAUAAUCUUAGUGGAGAUUUUGAAUAGAAGAGGUAGAGAAAACAAGAAUUUGCCUAGUAAUUUACAUUGUUAUUUUUUUCUUAUGUGACCAGUGAGCAAACUAAGCCUGAUUGAUAAACAUGAGAUGAGGUGACAGAUCUCAUGGUUGUAAAUGAAAACACUGUGAUUCAAACUCAAGCGACUGAAGUAAGUUUCUUUUUCAGCUGAAGCACUGCUGCUAGAAAAAAUCAGCCAUUACUGAUCCAUGUCUUAGUCUGUUUGGGCUGCUAUAACGAGAAUGCCUCAGACUGGGUAAUUUAUAAGGAAGAGAAAUGUAUUUCCCACAGUUCUGGAGGCUGGGAAGUCUAACAUCAAGGUGCUCGCAGGGUGGUGUUUAGUGAGGGCUGCUCUCUCCUUCCAAUACGGCACCUACCUUCUCACUGUGUCCUCACAUGGCAGAAGAAAUGGAAGAGUAAAUUCACUUCCUCAAGCCCUUUUUAAAGGGAGUUAAACUCACCUGCGGGGCAGAGCCCAUGACCUAAUUACCUUCCAGAAGCUUCACCUCGUCAUACCAUAACUUUCGGGUUUACGAAAUUUGAAUUUGAAAUACGAAUUCUGGAGGGAUACCAACUUUCAGGCUGUAAUGAACUAUGUCAACAAAGGAAUAACAGCGUAUUUGAAAUAAUGUAAUUAUCACUUUCAGCAGCCAUUAGCCCCAAUACUUACUACAAAUGCGAUUAGAAGUUUGAAACCUCUGGCAUUUGGUCUUGCUUUAUGUAAGUUUUCUACUUGACAAUAUUUGAGAAAAAUAAGAUACCUUCUGUCUCACAUAAAACACAUUUUAUAUGAGUUUAAGAAAUCAACCACAUAUAGCUGAGAAAAGACUAACAUUACUAAAAUGUUUAAAUGAUUUGUUUUUUUGUAAUUACGUAAGUAAUAUAUCUUCAGUUUAGAAAAUAUUAAAAAGAUAAAGAUAAGAAAAGAUAACAAUAAGUCUCACAUAAUCCUGCCACCAGUGAUAAUUGCAGGCAACAUUCUGGUACAUGUGGAACGAAUAUAUGUUGAAUGAAAAAAUGAGUUUUCUUCCAGUCUUUGUUCUAAGUAUGUAUGUGUAUGUUGUUUACACAUUGAACUCAUAUCACAUUAAGUUCUCAGGCUUUUCUUUUUCCGUGUAACAUCUCUCAAGUGUAGCAAUGUGAAUUGCAGCCUACAGCUUAGGAAAGUGAGAAAUAUAACUUUCCUUUUCUUAUCACACUUAUUUCUAUUUUAGCCCUCAUCUGACAGGGCAGCAGCAGAUUCAUCUCAUGAGUGAAAACAUUCUCUUCCUGAAAUUUGUCUAUUGCUGGGGGUAGUCGAGGCAGCAAGGCCACUGAGGCCCUAGAGCUCCCUCCUCCGGGGUCCAGGGUCUGUCUGGUGUCACUGUGAGUCCCCUUCUCCCCGGGGUUGCAGGCAAAGACCAGGGCACUGGGGCGCUUGGGCCUUUUGGACUUCUCAGGACUCAGGGCAGAGGGUCCUGCUGACGGGACCCGCUGAUGUACCCUAGAAAAUAAUGCUACCGCAGUGAGCUUUCUGUGAAAUCUGUCAGAAGUUCCAUUAUUUGCUAUGGUAGAUUCAGAAGUGGAAUUACCAAGUCAAAGGGUUAAGGCUCUUGAUACACAUAUCAAGUUGCUCUCCAGAGAAUGCCAACCUAAAGCUGUGACUGCAGCUGCCUACAGCAGUCUAGCAGGCAUGAUCAUUCAUGGUGGCCUUUCUUCAACUCCUCCAAUACAUUCCACGAAGACGUGAUUUUUGUCUGUUCACCUACAGAGUUCCAUUUCUUUCAGUUAGAAGGUCAACUGUUAUUGAGAACUCAUUAAAUGCAAAGCAUGUAUCAUUGGAAAAACUCCAAGCCUCAGUUUUUCAUCUUCAAAAGAGGUAUUAGGUUGAUGCACUUACUUAAUUCAGACUUUUGCCAUUACUUUUGAUGGCAAAAACUGCAAUUACUUUUGCACCAAAAUUACUUUUGUGACCACCCCGCCUGCCCACAUCACGCUCACAGGAGAGUUCAGGACACGGCAUGUUCUAACUGAUGAGAUGAACCUGCUGUUGCCCUGUCGGAUGAGGGCUAAAGUAAAACAGAUCCGGACUCCCCUGCAAAAAUGAGGGCAGAGGCCACUGGCAGGGACACAGACAACCGCUGAUUCUCUCUACAAAACUUGGUCACUGGGAAAGUUGGGGGCUAUGGAAACCCCACAGAAUCUUUGUGCAGAGCAUUCUUGAAGUCCACCUAAUCCGAGCCUUCCUGUUACAGGGGAAGAAACAGCAGAGCGACAAGGUGACCAUGAGUCGGGGUGCAGCCUGGCCUGGACCACUGUCCUCAUCAAGGUCUGGAUUCUUUCCAUCCACCCUCACAGCGGCUUGACCUCAGCCUCCAGGAGCUGUGCUCCUAUUACCAGUCCUCAGACACGGGCCCUGGGUUGCCAUAUUCACCCCCUCAUCCCAGGGGUCACACGGCUCAGGCCACCUAGACCUGCUGCUAGGACAGCUGGCCCUCAUCCCUGCCCCAGGACAGACAGGCGCUCAGCAGAAAGGCCGCCAGGCUCUUCAGAACUUCUCUCUGCACUGGGCUCAAGUGGCCGUACCAGGCAAGAGCAGGACCGUCUCUGUCUUCGUGUUCAUGCUGCAACAUUUCCUGCUUUCCAUUAAUUGCAUCUAAGUGGAGCGUUUAACGAAUUAAAAGAAUUUCCAGCACCACUCCUGGCUUAACCCUGUUUACCUCUUGUUUAACAUACUGAUUUGGAUUUAGGGUGGUUUUUUAA